rnacentral:rRNA from 1 species
UACGGAGGAUGCAGGCGUUAUCCGGAAUGAUUGGGCGUAAAGCGUCCGCAGGUGGCUUUGUAAGUCUGCUGUUAAAGAGUGAGGCUCAACCUCAUAAGAGCAGUGGAAACUACAAGGCUAGAGUACGUUCGGGGCAGAGGGAAUUCCUGGUGUAGCGGUGAAAUGCGUAGAGAUCAGGAAGAACACCGGUGGCGAAAGCGCUCUGCUAGGCCGUAACUGACACUGAGGGACGAAAGCUAGGGGAGCGAAUGGG